UGCCACAUGGCGGCAGGCCUACCAUGCAGUCGAGCGGUAGCACAGAGAAGCUUGCUUCUUGGGUGACGAGCGGCGGACGGGUGAGUAAUGCAUAGGAAUCUGCCCGAUAGUGGGGGAUAACCUGGGGAAACCCAGGCUAAUACCGCAUACGUCCUACGGGAGAAAGGGGGCUCCGGCUCCCGCUAUUGGAUGAGCCUAUGUCGGAUUAGCUAGUUGGUGAGGUAAAGGCUCACCAAGGCAACGAUCCGUAGCUGGUCUGAGAGGAUGAUCAGCCACAUCGGGACUGAGACACGGCCCGAACUCCUACGGGAGGCAGCAGUGGGGAAUAUUGGACAAUGGGCGCAAGCCUGAUCCAGCCAUGCCGCGUGUGUGAAGAAGGCCCUCGGGUUGUAAAGCACUUUCAGCGAGGAAGAACGCCUAGCGGUUAAUACCCGCUAGGAAAGACAUCACUCGCAGAAGAAGCACCGGCUAACUCCGUGCCAGCAGCCGCGGUAAUACGGAGGGUGCAAGCGUUAAUCGGAAUUACUGGGCGUAAAGCGCGCGUAGGUGGCUUGAUAAGCCGGGUUGUGAAAGCCCCGGGCUCAACCUGGGAACGGCAUCCGGAACUGUCAAGCUAGAGUGCAGGAGAGGAAGGUAGAAUUCCCGGUGUAGCGGUGAAAUGCGUAGAGAUCGGGAGGAAUACCAGUGGCGAAGGCGGCCUUCUGGACUGACACUGACACUGAGGUGCGAAAGCGUGGGUAGCAAACAGGAUUAGAUACCCUGGUAGUCCACGCCGUAAACGAUGUCGACCAGCCGUGGAUGCUAGCGCACUUGUGCGAGUCACCGCGAUAAGUCGACGCUGGGCGUACGGCCGCAGUCAACUCAUGGAUGACGGGGCCCGCCCCAAGCGGUUGGAGCU
rnacentral:rRNA from 1 species